rnacentral:lncRNA from 1 species
GCCCACCUUGCUCGCAGGUGCCCUUGCUGACCUGGGUGAUGGCCUUCUCCCCGCGGCUCUCGGCCCUCUGGCUGGCGGCGCGCAGCUGGCAGCCGCUCGGGUAGCGGCUCUUGCACACGCACACGCCGCUUACACCCGGACCGCCGGCUGCUGCCCCGGCUUUACCCUUCCGCCUCUUGCGGCUCUUCACGCACUCCAUGCCCGGCGCGCAGUACCCCCUGCCGGCGCCGCCACCCCCGCACGGCUCGCCCUCGCCGCGGGCGCACAUAGGGCAGCCCAGCGGGGGCAGGGGCGGGCAGGAGGCCGGCUCGCAGGGGCCGCAGGUGUCCGAAGAGGAGGAAGAGGAGAGGGG